GAUGAACGCUGGCGGCGUGCCUAACACAUGCAAGUCGAGCGGCAGCGAGGGGUGCUUGCACCCUGUCGGCGAGCGGCGGACGGCUGAGUAACGCGUGGGAACGUGCCCCAAAGUGAGGAAUAACUGCCCGAAAGGGUAGCUAAUACCGCAUAUUAUCUUCGGAUCAAAGGAUUUAUCCGCUUUGGGAGCGGCUCGCGUCGGAUUAGGUAGUUGGUGAGGUAAUGGCUCACCAAGCCGACGAUCCGUAGCUGGUCUGAGAGGAUGACCAGCCAGACUGGAACUGAGACACGGUCCAGACUCCUACGGGAGGCAGCAGUGAGGAAUCUUCCACAAUGGGCGAAAGCCUGAUGGAGCAACGCCGCGUGCAGGAAGAAGGCCUUCGGGUUGUAAACUGCUUUUAUAAGUGAGGAAUAUGACGGUAACUUAUGAAUAAGGAUCGGCUAACUACGUG
rnacentral:rRNA from 1 species